AGAGCGGGCAAGAGCGAAAGAAAAAUGAACGACCCCGCGUCCUUCCUCACACCGCGUACCUGCGUCCUUCCUCACAACCCUAGCCGCCGCCCCUUCUCCUCCCAUCGCCGCCCCCUCCUCCUCCUCCCACCUCAGUCGCCUCCCGGGCUUCCCCUAGCCGCCGCCUCCUCCUCCUCCUCCUCCCAUCUCAGUCUCCCCCCCAUCGCAUCUUGUCCGCCGCCGGUGCGGAGGCGAGCUUCCUGGUGACGGCGGCGGUGCUGGAUUCAAUCUGCAGGAGAGAGAGGGAGGUGUGGCUUCGGAGGGUCUCCGCUGGCGUCGGCCUGCGCCGGAGAGGUCGGGCGCGACCUGGCGAUUGGAGUUUGGAGUUCGUGCACUGCUGCCUCUUCCGCCAAGCAGGAGGAGCACGAGGAAAAGUUCAAGCUCAUACAACGAUGCUGUUGUUUUCGACCUCCAAGGACACGUGCCGGCAUCCGGGUACGCAAGCAACCAAUACAACCACGACAUGGUGCAGUCGGCCUUCUCCGACGAGCUUCCGCCCCUGCAUCAACAGCAGCACCGCGCUGGCUGUUGAAGCAUCGAGUUCAACAGCGGUGGCAAUGAACCCUUCUACAACAGAAAAUAUCAGGAAGCAGCAGCUCAGUAUACCGAAACUCUGAAAAAGAAUUUGAAUGAGUCUGCACUGCAGGGGAGGGGGAGGAGGCCGGCUACAGGGGGAAGGAGUAGGCCGGUGAGAAGGGCAAGUGGCAGGGGACAAGUAAUCUGCUCUAAUUAUCAGUUUCUUACAAUUUGUAAUAGCGAAACUCUUGCUUCCUUGCCCAUAAGAGAAAAUACACCAAUUUUUUUAUCACCUUAGCUUGUCGAUGGCAUACCACCCUGUACUGUGAGCCAGCAAUCGAUCUGUGAGCCCUCUUGCACUAUAUUAUGUAUCAGGGUUGUAACGCUAUUAUAUUUGGGAGGACGCUCUAAGUGGAAAGUACGGAUAUGUUUCAGAGAGUACGGAUAUGUUUCAGAGUGUCGCAAAGUAAAAGUUGGUAUGGUGCCAGCCUAGGUGAUGUAGUCCAAAAGGAAUCUCUCGAGUUUAUGAGUUGAUAGUAUAUUUGAAUCUCUUGGGCUGUUGUAGAUUUUGUUCUUCCCCACUUCUAGAUCUUCCACAAGUAAAAGUUGGUAUGGUGCCAGCCUAGGUGAUGUAGUCCAAAAGGAAUCUCUCGGGUUUAUGAGUUGAUAUUAUAUUUGAAUCUCUUGGGCUGCUGUAGAUUUUGUUCUUCCCCACUUCUAGAUCUUCCACAAGUAAUCUUUUUAUUUUCUAAAAUAUGUAUGUUCGCUCAUUGGACUGCAACAGCCAGAGAUGCUAGAGAUGGAGACUAAAUAGCGAGGAGAAGCAGAUGAGAAUAUUGAUUUGGAAAUUCGAAGUAUUAAACAAUUGGUCUGGCCUUUGGCCAUGGUAAGGUAACUUCUGUUUUAUAAGCCUGUUUUUUCUAACAUCCACCUUGGUCUCCUUCUCGAUCUUGCCUGCCUUGCUCGUGUGCUUCUCCUUGUCAGCUCAGGUAAAUGGACUGUUCUUUUGCUUGUCUUUGCACCAUUUCAUUAAAUGCUUGUGCUACUUCCAUUUUUCUUAUAGGCAUAGCUAAAUCCAGAGGUGUUUUGUAUUCAGAAUAGUAGGAAUAAAAUUUAGAGAAACACAAGCGUGCAGGCUGCCAAUUUAGUGCUCGUGUACAACCAUUCAUUAUUCUUCCUAUUUCUUUGUUCCAUUAAUUCAAGAGAACUACAAAAAUGAUUAGGAGAGGUUUUUCCGCUCUUUAUAGUCAAGCUCGCCUAUCAGUUAGUGAUGGUGCUGGAUAUGGCCGCCAUGUAAGUUCUUCUACAAAACAGACAUAUUUACUAUAUCUAUUUUAUUGGGAAUUUCAAGUGAUUUUCCGCUGUUAAACAACUAUUGUUCUAACAAAAUCUAUGUUUCAAGCAUGUCUUCAAUAUUUACUUUGAAAAAACUAAAUAAGAAAUUUUUCGUUAUAGAUUGGGUUAGAGAACUGACCAAUCUCAUCAUCGCCAUCCCUCCCAAUUUUAAUAUGGUAAAAUAAACUGUGUGCCAUACCUGAUGAAAAUACAUAGCCAUGUGGUGGGAGUUUUCCUUCCUGUAGUUUUUAGUGUGUAAUGACACUGUGAUUAAGCUAAUCUUAGAGAUUGUUAAUGUCCACUCUCUUUUCAUCUGAUUUCCAUUUUUGACAUGGACAUAUACCAUGCGGUAUACUCCCUCCGUAAAUAAAUAUAAGAGCGUUUAGAUCACUUCCCUCCGUAAAGAAAUCUAAGAGCUUUUAGAUCACUAAAGUAGUGAUCUAAACGCUCUUAUAUUUAUUUACGGAGGGAGUAAUAUUUAAGAAGAAUGACUUGGAAAUUUCAAAUAGAUGGUUACUCUUACCCGUAGUUUAUUUGGGAGUGAGAUAUGUAUGCUGAUAGCGUCUAGAGAUACCUUCUAAUCAAUAAAAAUAAGAUCUGAUCGUGCGCUAUAUGUUGAUUCUCUUACAUAUGUAUUAUGACAAAAUUAAGGCACAUAUGUUGAUAUUGGACUGAUAACCUUAGUACAUGAAAAGGUGUUGAAAAGGACGCAAUCCUUCAAAGAUAUGUAGUACUCCCGUCCCAAAAUAAGUGUCUUAACCUUAGUACUUUAGUACAAAGUUGAGACACUUAUUUUGAGACGGGAAUAUGUUAUAGGAUCCUCGCUUUAUUUGUACCCAUCUGUUGUAAGGAGAUUAUCUUGUCCACUUAUUAUUCUUAUUAUUUGUCCUUUUCGCAUUAAUCGUGAGCUGAUGUUAUUUGCAUAUUAGUCCAAGAACAACAAUUGCUCUUUGUUGUGGCAUUACUGGAGAAAUACAAAGGUAUAUACCCGCUUCCCACUACUCGGGGAGAUCCCUGAGGCAUUUGAAUCUUGUGGGACUCCCACACAUCUUAUAGGAGCAUCAACAAGUGGAUGGGCCUAUCCAUUUUUAAGAAAAGCUUUAGGCCUUGUUCGGUUGACAGGGAUUUAGGAGGGGUUUGGCAGGGAUUGAGGUGGAUAUAAUCUCCCACAAGUCAAAAUCCACCCAAAUCCCCUCCAAUCCUCUUAAGAAGAGGUGUAACCGAACAAGGCCUUAGAUGUGUUCAGACAGUUUCUGAUUCAAACGAAAACAAAUAAGAAAGGAUAUAUUGAUUAUAUUACAUAAUCUUAUUUGAUUUUCCAGUGAAGUUCAAACUUGAGAACUUAUUCGAGUAUUUAGUGCAAAGAUAAUUAAAUGAAGUUCCCAAAAUGCCUCUGUCGGUUUUAGUUGCAUUUGAAUUUUUUUAUUUGGAUCCUUGUACAUUCAAACAGUUUCUGUUUCAAAAGCAAACAACUGAGAGAAGAUAAGAUGCUGAAGCAACACCCUAACAGUGGUUGCAGUAGAUCUCUCUCUCUCUCUCUCUCAUUCUCUUUCCAUUUUGGUUGACCAUUCUUUCUUUUCUUAGGUCUUCGAUCCGAUUCUUCUUCAACGAAGCUGACCAUGAUCUCCUACAUGUGUUGCCCUGCUCCCUGAAGCAUCCUUCUCUCUUCCAGAUCCAACUCUUUUCGUUCUGGUUUUAACUAUGCUUAUGAUUGCCUGUCUUGCCUAUAUUCAUUCGCCAUACGCAAGUCUACUGGUGUGUGCCAACGGAAAUUAUAUUUGCAUAAUCAGAUUAGAUUAUAUGAUUUCCUGACCUUGAUUCCUCCUCGAUUGGUUACUAAAAUAUAUGUACAAUUCUUCCAUUCUGUGCUUACAAUCGCAAAGUUAAUGCCUUCAAUUUACUUAAGCUAUAGAAAUCUGUUUGAUUUCCUCUAGACAUAGGUAUCAUUGUAUUCCUGAAUCCAUUUGAUUUCAUGUCUCUGCUGUUAUAUUUAUGAUCUUGUAAUCUCAUGUCAUCGGUUUGCUCAGGGGUUAUUAGAUUCUUGAUGGUCAUGCAUGCUAAAACUUUUUCGAUCAUCAUUCUUAAUAUACACUCCAUUUACAGCUUGUGCCUAACCUUUGGAUUUAUCUUUUUUCAAAGUGCUCCUCAUGGAGUUGGUUGAGCUAUCCAACAAGUUUCUGGCUGACGUAAUGUUUGAAAAGCUCUUGCUCCUAAACCAGUCUACUUCGUAAGUAGCUCGAGCAGGGUGGAUAUGCAUGUAGUUGAGUUUUACCCCACAAAGGAGCAUCUCCACAUUUCAGUAGAAUGAAUUGCGCUGUCAAGCCACGUAUGUAAGGAUAGGGUGUCAUCGAUGAAUCGUGCGGCUGUUCGAGCCAUCAGGUUCAUGGAAUGCAGAAAGCACAAGGUGCAUGUUGAUUUCAACUAUGAGCAGAAGAAAUAAAAGGCAUAUGUAAGCGUCACAGACAAGCUACUCUUAAAAGGAAAAGAAAUCAAGCAUUUCCGCAUUUCAACUAUGACUAGGGAAGGGUGUGACAAUGUGGAUGAAGCGCGUGUUGCAUCUAACAAAAUCCAUGUUCUUGCUGGAGCUACUUCUUCAAUGGCUAUCUGUAAUAUCAGACAAGCUCUUCUAAAGAUUCAUGGUGUUGUGGUUGAACUUCUGAGCGUUACAAGCACGGCAUGUUUCUCACUGCAGAAGGAAGGUAUAUACCCAUAGCAGAAGAAAGGUAUAUACCCCUAUGAUCCAGACUAAGACUCAAGCUGUGGUGAGGAUUUUGUCGCUAUGAACCAACCUUCAAUGUAAUAUAUAACACUAUGUAGGAACAUUAUACGUGUAUCUAUUUCCCUAUUCUACAAAGAGUUGUUUGCUCUCGCUCUUUGCGCCAUUGGCGCAACGGGUCAUAUAGUACCAAGUAAAUGAUGAUGUGUCUCAGACUCUGAACAUAUCCUGCAAUGCAAUAAAGGGUGCUCUCACUCUAAAAUUAUGAAAGCCAAAACAUAGAAGGCUCAUGAAAUGAACAACAACCCCCGAUCUGCAAAUAGGGUAGCAAGAAAUAUAUUUGUGAAUUAACAAUCAAAUAAUUAAACAAUAGAAAAGUAGAACGACGCAGCAAGGCCCGCGUAUGCUUCUAGUCCAC